rnacentral:rRNA from 1 species
UGCCAGCAGCCGCGGUAAUACGAGGGGUGCAAGCGUUAAUCGGAAUUACUGGGCGUAAAGCGCGCGUAGGUGGCUUAUCAAGCCAGAUGUGAAAUCCCCGGGCUUAACCUGGGAACUGCAUUUGGAACUGGUGAGCUAGAGUACAGCAGAGGAGUGUGGAAUUUUAGGUGUAGCGGUGAAAUGCGUAGAGAUCUGAAGGAACAUCAGUGGCGAAGGCGACACUCUGGGCUGAUACUGACACUGAGGUGCGAAAGCGUGGGUAGCAAACAGGAUUAGAUA